rnacentral:lncRNA from 1 species
GAAGCUUAGUUGACCUUGGCCUUUUUUUUUUGUUUUUUUCUUCUCUCUUUUUUCUCUUUUUUUUUUUCCUUUUCUUUUUUCAUUUUCCUGUUUUUUUUAGAAAAAGACUAAAUCAAAUAAAGUGAAAUAACUAAUAUCAAAAUAGUAAAAUUAAACAUAACUUAAAAAUAAAAAUAAAAAUGAAAUAAAAUAACAUAAAAUAAAAUAAGACAAACUUAAAAUAAAAUUAAAAAAAUUUAUUAUUUAGUUAAUUCGGACGAAAUUGGGUGUUG